GAUGAAGAACGCAGCGAAAUGCGAUAAGUAGUGUGAAUUGCAGAAUUCAGUGAAUCAUCGAAUCUUUGAACGCACAUUGCGCCCUUUGGUAUUCCAAAGGGCAUGCCUGUUCGAGCGUCAUUUGUACCCUCAAGCUUUGCUUGGUGUUGGGCGUCUUGUCUCUAGCUUUGCUGGAGACUCGCCUUAAAGUAAUUGGCAGCCGGCCUACUGGUUUCGGAGCGCAGCACAAGUCGCACUCUCUAUCAGCAAAGGUCUAGCAUCCAUUAAGCCUCUUUUUCAACUUUUGACCUCGGAUCAGGUAGGGAUACCCGCUGAACUUAAGCAUAUCAAUAAGCGGAGGA
rnacentral:misc_RNA from 1 species